GACGAACGCUGGCGGCGUGCUUAACACAUGCAAGUCGAACGGAAAGGCCUGCUUUCCCUUGUGGAUUGCGGGUACUCGAGUGGCGAACGGGUGAGUAACACGUGAGUGAUCUGCCCCCAACUUGGGUAUAAGCCUGGGAAACUGGGUCUAAUUCCCGAUAGGACUGCAGGGUGGUGCCUGUGGUGGAAAACGAUUUUCUAGUGGUUGGGGAUGAGCUCGCGGCCUAUCAGCUUGUUGGUGGGGUAAUGGCCUACCAAGGCGGCGACGGGUAGCCGGCCUGGGAGGGUGGACGGCCACAUUGGGACUGAGAUACGGCCCAGACUCCUACGGGAGGCAGCAGUGGGGAAUAUUGCACAAUGGGCGGAAGCCUGAUGCAGCGACGCCGCGUGGGGGAUGACGGCCUUCGGGUUGUAAACUCCUUUCGACCGCGAGGAAGCCACCUGGUUGGAAGGGUGGUGACGGUAGCGGUAGAAGAAGCACCGGCUAACUACGUG
rnacentral:rRNA from 1 species